GACAGAGGUUCCGAGCGUUAGGCGGAAUCACUGGGCUUAAAGCGCGUGUAGGCGGGACGGCACGUCCGACGCUGAAAUCCCCCGGCUCAACCGGGGAACGGGCGGGGAUACGACUGUCCUGGAGGGGCGUAGGGGGACCUGGAACUUCCGGUGGAGCGGUGAAAUGCGUUGAGAUCGGAAGGAACGCCCGUGGCGAAAGCGAGGUCCUGGACGCCUACUGACGCUGAGACGCGAAAGCCAGGGGAGCGAACGGG
rnacentral:rRNA from 1 species